rnacentral:rRNA from 1 species
CAGUAGCCGCGGUAUACGUAGGGUGCAAGCGUUAAUCGGAAUUACUGGGCGUAAAGCGUGCGCAGGCGGUUCGGAAAGAAAGAUGUGAAAUCCCAGGGCUUAACCUUGGAACUGCAUUUUUAACUCCCGGACUAGAGUAUGUCAGAGGGGGGUGGAAUUCCACGUGUAGCAGUGAAAUGCGUAGAUAUGUGGAGGAACACCGAUGGCGAAGGCAGCCCCCUGGGAUAAUACUGACGCUCAUGCACGAAAGCGUGGGGAGCAAACAGGAUUAGAUACCCCCGUAGUCCUGUCUCUUAUACAC